rnacentral:rRNA from 1 species
GGAUUGUAGUCUGCAACCCGACUACAUGAAGCUGGAAUCGCUAGUAAUCGCGAAUCAGAAUGUCGCGGUGAAUACGUUCCCGGGUCUUGUACACACCGCCCGUCACACCAUGGGAGUUGGAAAUGCCCGAAGUCAGUGACCCAACCGCAAGGAGGGAGCUGCCGAAGGCAGGUCCGGUAACUGGGGUGAAGUCGUAACAAGGUAGC